UUUAGAUAUCGAAGGAGCAUUUGAAAAAUUAUCUGAUGAUGUUGCAAAAACUUUAUCAGAUUAUGGUUACUCCAUUGAGGUAGAACUAAACCGUAUAGAAGGUGUUGUCGAAUUGUUUGUUGAAAAAAACAAAAAUCGAAUUUAUACUUCUACAAAAUUAGAAGAAAACAAUGACAAAAAAGGAAUUAAAAAAGAAUGUGAUUUAGCUCUAAAUAAACUAAAAGAUGUAGUAGAAUAUAUACGUCUUAAUAAAUUUUAUACAUUUUUAAAAUAUGGAGAAGGUGAUGUAAAAAAAGAAGCUUUAGAAUAUGUAAAAAAUAAUGAUAAUAUAAAUAAAGAACUAAAAGAUGAGUUAUUAAAGUAUGAAAAAAAUGAAGGAGAAAAUAAAAAUGUAUCUAAAUUAAUUAAUCAUGUGACUCCUAUAUUUAAUAAGGUUAUUGAAAAAUUAGUGGAAUUAAGAAGCGAGCUAUCAAAAGAUUUAAAUAAAGUGCUUGAAUGAGUAUACAUUAACUAG